ensembl:lncRNA PCA3 prostate cancer associated 3
AGUCAACGUUUGAUGGAGACAAAAUGUUGGAGCCUGCUCCUACCGGCAAAUAAACGGACUCAGGGUCUUCACGAAUAUGCAGCACAGCCAGCUGGGAUCCAGGCAGUCUGUUUUUGGUCUCAGCCUGGUUUCCCUCACUUCUUCGAUCAGGAAGUGCAGAAAGCACUAUCUCUGCUGCUCUGCAUCCCAGAGAUUCAUCCUCUGGAGACCCAGCUUCCUCUAUUGUUUCAGCACUCUGGGCAGGUUCUGUGAGAUAAGACAAAUCAAAGGGAGGUGUGUACGGUGCCAGCGACUGCUUCAGAGAAUCUUCCUCCAAAGGAGGGUCACCACCAUACAGGAAGUGUUCAGGCUCUCUCAGUAAAUCUUCAUCGAUAUUCUGGCCCAUUACAUCAUAUUCAAAAUCACCCCACGAGGCUUCAGAUGAGCAGAUAUCUUGCUUCCCUAGGUCCCCAUCAACUGGCGUUUCCGGAUGGCCUUCGGAUAAUGUCAGUUUACUCAUGUCAUCUAUUGUUCCCGUGGAUGUGUUGAGACCUGAGGCAUCGCUGAAACUGUGGUCAAAGGCAGCUUCGCUUAUAUCCAGACAAGUGUCUGAGGCUAGCAAAGCAUCAGGAACCAAGGCAGGAUUCUCUGUGGAUAAAUGUGGAUCACCAUCAAACAAAGCUCUUGCACCAGGCUGACUUUCAGGAGAAAAGCUGUCUGAUAUCCAAGAACCGUCACCUUCUGGAGUUGGCUCUUGAGACAGGGUUUCAUUAUGUUGCCCAGGCUGGACUUGAACUCCUGAGUUCAAAUGAUCUGCCUGCUUCGGCCUCCCAGAGUGCUAGGACUACAGGCAUGAGCCAUAGCACUUGGCCCUAUGAACUUUGUACAAUAUCAGAGUUCUGGAAGACGGAAAGUCCAAGAUCAAGAUCCUGACAUACUCGCUGUCUGAUGAGCACCUGCCUCCUGAUUCAUAGGCUGCCAUCUUUUUGCUGUGUCCUCACGUGACAGAAAAGGUCUGCAGGCUCACUGACACUCUCUGAAGAUGGCGGGUUCCUAAAAAGUCAUGAGAGUUGAGGGAUGCAUUUCAGUGUAUGCUCAGAGACAUCAUGGCUUUCAUCAUCUUCCUUCUUCUUCUGAGUAACCAACUCUAGGUAACCUCUGUUUAGAAGUCUGAACAUUAAGCACAAAAGAAUUAUUUGAUACUUCUCAUGUUUUAGAAUUGAAAUUACUUUGCUUUAGGAAGAUUUUUAGAGGGAUGAAGUCAAAGGUAGCAUGUGUCAUAGAGCACAUUAACCUUUCAAAGCCCUUUGAAAGACUUUGAAAUAUAUUAUUAUCUUAUCACAGCCUCAUAAUCACCCUGUGAAGUGGGCAGAGCUGGUGUUGGAAUCCAAUUUUAUAAGAAAACUGACACGGGGAGGGAGCUAAGAGCUUAAGGGCCUCAACCAAACUACAUUACGCAUGGAUUACCUCGUAUAUUCCACUAUUCUUAUCCCAUUUUCCACAAAGAACACCAAACUGCAGAAGUAAAACAGGAUACUAAGGAGGAAGAGAAAAAUCUCAUGGACAAAUAUAUAGUAGAUGUAAAAAUAAAUGCUAGAGUGCAGGAGUAGAAUUCCUGGUUUGGAUACCAGCUGUAGCCCAUGCAGCUCUGUCAUUAAGUAGUGAUGUGGCUCGAUGUGAAAAGUGACAGCCUCAAGCUCUCGGUUUAGAGCCAUGCCUAUAAACACAGGAAGUACUCAAUAAAUGACACUAUUAAUAGUCUUUAAUGCUAUCAUGAAUGAUGAUAACAAAAAGAAUGGGGUUGGCAAGCACCACUGAGCCUUUCCCAAAUAUAAGUCUAUAUAAUCGCUUACCAGAAAUCCCUGGAACCAGGGAUAUAGUUUGUUACUGAAUUUUUUUUUUUUUAAUUUGAGAAAGGUAAAAUGGUGCUUAUAAUGUAUACUAUGAAUCAACCCAAGUGAAGCCUAGGGCAGCUCCCCUAAAGCACACAAAUAUAUAUGCAUCAAAAUAUAUAAAGAGGGAUAAAGGCCAUAAAUAUCACAUCAGAGUUUGCUGUCAGAGUUUCAAAAGCCCUAGAGUUUUCGGAACUCUUUAGAUUUCAAAAUUGUAGAUGGGGGACUACAGACCUGGAUUAAUUCUCAAUAAAAUGUUAACUAUCCACCAGGCGCGGUGGCUCAUGCCUGUAAUCCCAGCUCUUUGGGAGGCCAAGGCAGGCAGAUCACGAGGUCAGGAGUUUGAGACCAGUCUGGCCAACAUAGUGAAACCCCGUCUCUAAUAAAAAUACAAAAAAUUAGCCGGAUGUGGUGGUGUACACCUGUAAUCCCAGCUACUCGGGAGGGUGAGGCAGGAGAAUUGGGUGAACCUGGGAGGUGGAGGUUGCAGCGAGCUGACCUGGGCGACAGUAUGAUACUCUGUUUCAAAAAAAAAAACAAAGUUAACUAUCAAAUAUCCAGUGCUCAGUGAAAAAGAGCAGGGAUCAUUUCUAAUUAUAUGUGGAGGUUAAUUUAGAAUUAGGCAUUGAAGACCGGGCACGGUGGCUCACGCCUGUAAUCCCAGCACUUUGGGAGGCCGAGGCAGGCGGAUCACGAGGUCAGGAGAUCGAGACCAUCCUGGAUAGCAUGGUGAAACCCCAUCUCUACUAAAAAUACAAUAAAUUGGCCAGGCAUGGUGGUGGGUGCCUGUAGUCCCAGCUACUUGGGAGGCUGAGGCAGGAGAAUGGCGUGAACCCGGGAGGUGGAGCUUGCAGUGAGCUGAGAUCGUGCCUC